rnacentral:rRNA from 1 species
UACGGAGGAUGCAAGCGUUAUCCGGAAUGAUUGGGCGUAAAGCGUCCGCAGGUGGCUGUGUAAGUCUGCUGUCAAAGAGCAAAGCUCAACUUUGUAAAGGCAGUGGAAACUACACGGCUAGAGUGCGUUCGGGGCAGAGGGAGUUCCUGGUGUAGCGGUGAAAUGCGUAGAGAUCAGGAAGAACACCGGUGGCGAAGGCGCUCUGCUAGGCCGCAACUGACACUGAGGGACGAAAGCUAGGGGAGCGAAUGGG